ensembl:snoRNA SNORD15 Small nucleolar RNA SNORD15
CUUCAGUGAUGAGACGAUGACGAGUCGGAACGGGACACAGUCUCUGCGGUCACUGGGUCAGGGUCACGUUCUGUGUCUCUGGGUUCAGCUUUCCAGGGCAGUGUGUCUUUUCAGUUGAAGACAUUGAGGCAUUUGUCUGAGAAGG